AACCAGUUGAAUUAAAAGAAGAUUUGAGUUAUGUUGAAGAACCAGUUCAGAUUCUCGACAGAAAGGAACAAGUUUUGAGAAACAAAACGAUUCCACUCAUAAAAGUUUUGUGGAGACAUCAUGGAGCGGAGGAGGCAACUUGGGAACCAGAAUAUCAGAUGAAGAAGAGCUAUCCGAUACUUUUCAGUUAAGGACAUUCUAAAUUUCGAGGACGAAAUUUUCUAAAGGGAAGAGAACUUCUAAGAGAGAGUUUGGAAGAAGAAGAGAAAUUUUACUAGAAUUUUUAGGUUGAAGAAGAGGAGAAGAACUCAAGCAAAGUGUAUCAAUGGCUGAAUUUUAGUUCAUUCUGCACAUCACUGGUUUUUAAUUCGGUUUGAACUCUUCAAAAGGAAUUAAGAGGUGAGAUUUACAUUUACUGAAAGUUAACUCAUUUUUAAACAAACUUUAUGAAGAACGUUGGAGCAAAUUCGGAUAUUCAUUUGGUGCUUUUUGAUGAAGAAAACAGGGCAGUUGGUUUUCACUCGAAAUCAGGAGGUCUCUGGUUUUUCUUGUAUUUCAGAGUGUAUCGGUGGAGUUAGAAUUUCUAUUUGGAACAAGUUAAAGAGGUCGUGUGCGCGCGAUUCUGGAAGUGGUUCUGUUUUGAGGGUUAUAUGUGUUUAUGCACGGGGAAUCAGAUUUAUAUGUCUUCAGGCCGAGAAGAAUUAAACCGAGCUUAUAGACCAAGGAUCUAGCCCAAGACUGUAGAGAUCGACUUCCCGGUGCCUGAUAGACUGCCUUAGUCUGCGGAAGCUUCAUUAUCGAUUGCCAGUACGUGUUUUGAGUUGGGCAUAAAGUCUGUUGUAUUUGUGAUGUAUUCACACCCUUGUAUGUUAUAGAUACUCCACAGUUUGUAUAAGCUUUAGGAGCUGUAGUUGUGUAAAUUUUGUUGGUUAUAUUUUGAUUAAGGUGUCUUUAGGUUUACUCGUGAAAUUGGUAAAUUUUGAGGUACACUUCAUGUAUGUGUUUGACUAGCUGUGUUUGACUAGCCUAGGAUCCGAUGUGUUUUGUGGCAUGUACAAUAGUUUAUAUACUAGAUUGGCAAGUUCAUCACAUGAAAGUUUUAAGCAGAGUCGACAGAUA